rnacentral:rRNA from 1 species
AAGCGCUCAUGACCAGACUUGGGCUUGGUUGAUCAUCCAGGGUUCUCCCUGGUGCACUCUUCCAGCCCAGGCCAGCAUCAGUUCGCUGUGGGGGAUAAAGGCUUUGGGAAUGUGGCUCCUCCGGGAGUGUUAUAGCCCAUUGUAUAAUACCCUUAUGGGGACCGAGGUACGCGCUCUGCAAGGAUGCUGGCGUAAUGGUCAUCAACGA